CACGUAGGGGACGAGCGUUGUCCGGAUUCAUUGGGCGUAAAGCGCGCGUAGGCGGCUCGGUAAGUCGGUCGUGAAAUGCCGGGGCUCAACCCCGGGACUGCGUCCGAUACUUCCGGGCUGGAGGUAGGUAGGGGAGAUCGGAAUUCCUGGUGUAGCGGUGAAAUGCGCAGAUAUCAGGAGGAACACCAAUAGCGAAGGCAGCUCGCUGGGACGUUACUGACACUGAGGCGCGAAAGCGUGGGGAGCGAACAGG
rnacentral:rRNA from 1 species